AUUGAACGCUGGCGGCAGGCCUAACACAUGCAAGUCGAGCGAGCGGCGGACGGGUGAGUAAUGCCUAGGAAUCUGCCUGGUAGUGGGGGAUAACGUCCGGAAACGGUAGCUAAUACCGCAUACCAUCAGAUGUGCCCAGAUGGGAUUAGCUUGUUGGUGGGGUAACGGCUCACCAAGGCGACGAUCCCUAGCUGGUCUGAGAGGAUGACCAGCCACACUGGAACUGAGACACGGCCCAGACUCCUACGGGAGGCAGCAGUGGGGAAUUUUGGACAAUGGGGGCAACCCUGAUCCAGCCAUGCCGCGUGUAUGAAGAAGGCCUUCGGGUUGUAAAGUACUUUUGUUAGGGAAGCGGUACCUAAAGAAUAAGCACCGGCUAACUACGUGACAGCAGCCGCGGUAAUAC
rnacentral:rRNA from 1 species